rnacentral:rRNA from 1 species
UACGGGGGGGCAAGCGUUGUUCGGAAUUACUGGGCGUAAAGGGCUCGUAGGCGGCCAACUAAGUCAGACGUGAAAUCCCUCGGCUUAACCGGGGAACUGCAUCUGAUACUGGACGGCUUGAGUUCGGGAGAGGGAUGCGGAAUUCCAGGUGUAGCGGUGAAAUGCGUAGAUAUGCGGAGGAACACCGAUGGCGAAGGCAAUCCCCUGGACCUGUACUGACGCUCAUGCACGAAAGCGUGGGGAGCAAACAGG